AAAGCCAACUUUCCGAGUUGGCACUGCACUUGAAGUCUCAUUGUGGUUGUGCUGCCUUAUAUUAGCUUGAGUCCACACAGAAGAGUAGCACUCGAGUGAAGGUGAUUGAAAAGGAGAUGAGAGAUCUGUCGCUGGAGCACGAUCUGUUGGAGCAGGCUGUUGAGAAGGUGAACUGCUCCCAAAGAAAGAAAAACAGAAAGCAAGAUACCAGAACGAUGUCUGGUCUAAGGAAGGACCCCACAAUCUCAUUGGGGAAUCUGAGUUGUUUUCCCCUGUCCACCCUCAUCUGCCAGUCAUGUCCUGAGAUGCUCCAUGACAUCUUCCCAUGCAAUGCUUGUUCCCAUCUUGUCCAUUGUAUAUCACAUCUAUGUAGAGAUAAAUGUGAGAUGUUUCCUUGAAUGUUUUUGUAAGAUGCUGAUUAGAAAAUAAAUUAUGUCCCCC